CAAUAGCGUAUAUUAAAGUUGUUGCAGUUAAAAAGCUCGUAGUUGGAUGUCUGGCUCUGUGUUGCGGUCCACCGCAAGGUGAGCACUGCGAUGUGGGGUCUUCCUCUUGAAUGCUGCGUGUGCUCUUAGUUGAGUGUGCGUGGGGUUUGGGAUCUUUACUUUGAAAAAUUAGAGUGUUCAAAGCAGGCGAUUGCUUGAAUAUAUUAGCAUGGAAUAAUGGAAUAGGACUUGGGUUCUAUUUUGUUGGUUUCUAGGACCGAGGUAAUGAUUAAUAGGGGUAGUUGGGGGCGAUUCGUAUUUAAUUAGUCAGAGGUGGAAAUUACUUUGGAGUUUGUUUAAAGUAACGGACGUACUGCGAAAGACAUUUGUCCAACGGAAGUG
rnacentral:rRNA from 1 species